AGGGGACCAGCUCACCAGACUCUUUGUCUACGUUGCAGGAACGAGCCCAUUCCAGUGUGUUCCCUGAGCGAAAUGCCAGGCCCUCCUCUCAUCUAAGAAGAUGACAGCUCUGGAAGUGAUGCAUCGUCCUCCAGCACUUAUUAUAAGUGGAAAAUGGAGCUGCACAGACUGUCCAGACAACAAGGGCCACACAGAGAAGAAGAAAAAGAAGAGGAGGAGGGGGAAGAAGAAGAAGGA